rnacentral:rRNA from 1 species
UACAGAGGUCCCAAGCGUUGUUCGGAUUCACUGGGCGUAAAGGGUGCGUAGGCGGUCGGGUAAGUCUGACGUGAAAUCUUCAAGCUCAACUUGGAAACUGCGUCGGAUACUAUUCGGCUAGAGGAUUGGAGGGGGGACUGGAAUACUUGGUGUAGCAGUGAAAUGCGUAGAUAUCAAGUGGAACACCAGUGGCGAAGGCGAGUCCCUGGACAAUACCUGACACUGAGGCACGAAAGCUAGGGGAGCAAACAGG